GACGAACGCUGGCGGCGUGCAUAACACAUGCAAGUCGAGCGAUGAACCUUUCAUGAAUUUUUCGGAAUGAUUGGAAGAGGAUUAGCGGCGGACGGGUGAGUAACGCGUGAGCAACCUGCCUUAAACAACGGGAUAGCCUCGGGAAACCGGGAUUAAUACCGUAUGAGACCCCGCCUUCACAUGAAGAAGAGGUUAAAGAUUUAUCGGUUUAAGAUGGGCUCGCGUCUGAUUAGCUAGUUGGUGAGAUAAAAGCCCACCAAGGCAACGAUCAGUGUCCGGCUUGGGAGAGUGAACGGUCACAUUGGAACUGAGACACGGUCCAAACUCCUACGGGAGGCAGCAGUGGGGAAUAUUGCACAAUGGGGGAAACCCUGAUGCAGCGACGCCGCGUGAGCGAUGAAGGAAUUCGUUUCGUAAAGCUCUGUCCAAGGGGAAGAUAAUGACAGUACCCUUGGAGGAAGCCCCGGCUAAAUACGUGCCAGCAGCCGCCGUAAAAC
rnacentral:rRNA from 1 species